rnacentral:rRNA from 1 species
AGUCGAGCGAAGCUUUUUAGUAGUUUACUACUAGAAAUGACUGAGCGGCGAACGGGUGAGUAACGCGUGAGCAAUCUACCUUAGUUACUGGGAUAGCCCGAGGAAACUCGGAUUAAUACCAGAUAUUCUUAUUUUUUCACAUGAAGUUUUAAGGAAAGGUCAGCCGAACUAAGAUGAGCUCGCGUUCUAUCAGCUAGUUGGUGGGGUAAAAGCCUACCAAGGCUACGACGGAUAGCUGGUCUGAGAGGACGGUCAGCCACACUGGGACUGAGACACGGCCCAGACUCCUACGGGAGGCUGCAGCAGGGAAUAUUGUGCAAUGAGCGAAAGCUUGACACAGCGACACCGCGUGUGGGACGACGGUUCUAGGAUUGUAAACCACUUUCAGGAGGGAAGAAAAUGACGGUACCUCCACAAGAAGACCCGGCCAACUAUGUGCCAGCAGCCGCGGUAAUACAUAGGGGUCAAGCGUUGUCCGGAUUUAUUGGGCGUAAAGAGCUCGUAGGCGGUUCAACAAGUCGGUCGUAAAAGUUUAGGGCUCAACCCUAAAAUGUCGAUCGAUACUGUUGUGACUAGGAUACGGUAGAGGUGAAUGGAAUUCCGAGUGUAGCGGUGAAAUGCGUAGAUAUUCGGAGGAACACCGAUUGCGAAGGCAGUUCACUGGACCGUGAUCGACGCUGAGGAGCGAAAGCUAGGGGAGCAAGCAGGAUUAGAUACGCUGGUAGUCCUAGCUGUAAACGAUGGAUACUAGAUGUGGGAACUGGAUUGACGGUUUCUGUAUCGUAGCUAACGCGUUAAGUAUCCCGCCUGGGGAGUACGGUCGCAAGACUA